UCUUUUCAGUCUUUCUUGUCAAGUUUGAACUGAUCUCUCACAGUCUAACGCAAGCUCCACAUACUAUAGGAUUAACAUCACACGAUUCACAUCCUUCAGUUUUUCAAGCUUUCAUAUCACAGUUCUAGCAAAUAAGAGGUGUUCAAUCAUGGGAGGUGUUUUUGGCAUUAACUGUUGCGAAAUUAGAAAUGCUUCUGAACUCAUAUUCAAUUAACCAACAACUUCUUACAUUUCACAAGGGCAACUGUUCUUGUAACUACAAUUAGGAGCCUUCUCCAUAUCCAUUGGGGGGGUGGGGGGGUGUUGAGAUGAUAAUCGUUGAAUGUUAUUCUGUUUAGAUUGGUAUUUUCAAUUUUUUUGAUCGGAGAUAAUGGGAUGGUUUAUGCUAUCAAAUUGUAUCGUGCUGGUGCAACAACUAACUCACAGGAUGGUGUCACUGAUCUUCUCGGAAAGUGUUUGCCUGUGCUCAAAGAGAUGGCUGAUCAAAAUAUGCCUUUGUUGGUCCAUGGGGAAGUUACAGAUCUCGCUGUAGAUAUGUUUGAUCAUGAAAAGGUUAUUUAGUGAGACAAUUUUAAGACCUUCAGUACAGAAAUUACCACAACUGUAAGUUGUGAAGGAGCAUAUCACUAUGGCAGAUGCCGUCAAGUUUAUAAAUCAUGCAAUGAAGGUAAUAUCAUAUUUUGUGUUUGAGAAUAUUUCUAUCAUCUGGUUUAAGUUACUUUUUUUUUUCUUAAGAAAAUAUAAUUUUCUUUUGGUGCCCAAUAAAAAUUCUCCAUUCAUCUUGCUCCUUUACGUUCAACACUCAACAUGUAGUGUAGCAGCCUACAUGACACCAUUCACCGUGCUGAAUAGAAAUUCUCCCUUCCAAGGAGGCCUGCAGCCACAUAACUACUGUCUUGCAGUGCUCAAAAGAGAAACUCAUAGUAUGUGUUGUUUGAAUGGUAAUAAACAUAUUCAUUAACUUGACUUAUGUGAUAGAUUUUAGUUGAUUAUGUAUUUUGCUUCAAGCCUUCAACUACAAGAAGAGAGUAACAUCACAGUUGCUUUGUGAAUGUGGAUUGUGGACACAGUUUAGUGCGUCCAAUCUUAGCCAACAUAAUCUUGUGUAUAGAAUUUUAAGUUCAGUAUGGGUGCUUGAGAGAAUGUUUUUGUAGAUAGAAGAGAAGAAAUUACUGCAUUUUAGAGUACAUUUACCAUUAUUUGCUGAAAGAUGAUUGAACGAUCCUUGUCUAUACCCACCUGAGGUGGUUGUUUGGAACUCCUGGAGAAGCUGUUGAAGUAAGAUAUCAGACUGGAAGAUUUCAAUGUCAGUUUAUUGUCUGCCAAGUGUCGGACCAUGAGCACCCUCUUACAUGUCCGUGUACAUAUGUUCUAACCUGGACUAGCAAGGGAGUACUGCGAGCUAAGUCUGUUGUUUGAUCAAAGCUCAAAUUGUUUCCUCUAGUCCAGACUCCAGAGUUUGGUUGAUCCAGGCCUAACACUACUGCAAGCACCAUAACAGGCCUGCUAUUUGUGAUUAAAGCAACGAAAUCAGAGAUCUGGUUUCGUAGUUUGUACUUAACGAGGUAUCUUUUGCUAAUCUAUUUAUGUGCAUUCAUUAGAGUAGAGACCAAUUAAUGGUGUGUGUUAAGUGGAAGUGUGACUAUUAUGUUUGUCCCCCACAUUGGAAUAUAAAGCCACGAUCUUUUAGUUUAUAACGUUUCUCAUACAGAGUAUGUGACCUUAUGGAAUAGCUCAACAACGUUUGAUGGGAUUAUUCUUGCAUCUGUAUGCGCUCUUUAAGAGUAUCUGGAAGUGCUCUCAACAAUUUUUCUUAAGACACCACCAAGUUGAUGGAGUUUCUGCCUUGCACAUUUUUUUUUAAGAUCUCAAGCGUCGCCUCGAAUUCCAGCCAUCUUCCCUCGCCUUGUCCAUAUCUCUGUCGUGAGAAGCAGCGUAAGGUCGUCCAUAUCUUCAUCGCGAGAAGCAGCGUGUAAGGUCGCCUCGUACCAGUGGUGGUUCGUUUGCAUUCCGGUCGUCUCCAGCACCGGCGUUCGUCGGCUUCAAGAUUCAAUGAUGUUUUCCUUUUUUUUAAUUUUUAAUUUUUUUGUUAAUUCUCUAUAUUUCUGUUUUAUUUUAGAUCUUUGUAUACCUCUUUUUUUUCUUUUUUUUUUUUAAAUUUGUCCUCAUUAAUUUGUUUUCAUUUUUUUUUUAUAUUUUGUAAUUAGGGUUUGUAAAAUAUUUUUUAUUGAAUAAAUGGCAGUUUGGGUUAGUUACUUUUGUUGUUAUUGUACUGCAAUAGUCUCCAAUGUUUAUAUUAUAAGUGUAUUACGCCUUGAGUAAUAAUUUUUUUUUUUACCUGCCCUGCGUAUAUUGCUGCGGUUUUGGGAAGAAUUCGCAGCAAUAUACCUGUAUUUUUAAUAUUGAAAAAUAUACAUAUUGCUGCGGUUUUCUCAAGAAACCGCAGCAAUAUGUUCAAAUAUUGUUGCGGUUUAAAACUGCAGCAAUAUAUUAAGUACAUAUUGCUGCCUCCUUAAUUGCUGCGCGGCCAAAACUGCCGCAAUAGGGCACUUAUUGACCGCAACAAUAAGCAUUUAUUCUACUAGUGAUACUCUUUUUAUGCAUUAGAAUGACAUUACAGCUUUGCAU